rnacentral:tRNA from 1 species
GCGGCUGUAGCUCAGUUGGCUAGAGCGACUGCUUGCCAUGCAGUAGGUCGUGGGUUCGAGUCCCAUCAGCCGCU